AGGCUGUCUCUACGAUUCUGAACAUGACUUCCUCAGCACACUACGAUCCCGAGGAAGCUCUACUCGAUACACUACGAUCCUUCUUCGUUUCCCCUGGCAGUCUACGAACUCCGAGAUCUACUAUCUUGCAUAUUCCUAUUCUGCCUCGAUAGCUCUCGAGUUAACCUUGACUCACCUGGCAGACUACGACUUCUGGUGCAGUGCUCGACGAUCAGACUAGCCUAUCU
rnacentral:lncRNA from 1 species